GAGAGAGAGAGACAGAGAGAGGGGUGUAUAGUUUCCUUUUUUUCAAGAGGAGAUUGUUCUGAGGCAAUACUUCAUAUAGAAAUGUCGGUUUUGAGAAGCUAAAAAAUGUCAAAGGAAAGGACUGAGUCGCAGAUGAAGGCUGGGUUGAGACUUGAGAGCAGAACUAGUCUUGAGGGUGGUGUUCUUGUUCUUGGCCGCCAUUAGAGAGAGAGAGAGAGAAGGGGA
rnacentral:misc_RNA from 1 species